rnacentral:lncRNA from 1 species
CGCCAUUGACGAGGAGAGAGAGAAGCGGGGACCACCAUUGAUGCAUCGUGAGCGCAGGAGAGAGAGAUGCAAGAAGAGAGAAAAUAGAGCUGGGCCACUGCGAGGGAGUCCUGGAUCACCAUCGAUCUGAGUCAAGCACGCGGCCAGAAAGAUCCCCGACGAGAAUAACUGAAUGUGAGGACCUGGGAUUUGUUCAUCAGCGAUUGCCGCUGCUGUGUGUCCGCCCCUCAUCGAGGCCUCCUCUAACCGUCGCUUAAUCACAGGUAAAAAGUCCCUAAAUGCAUUCGCGACACCUUAAUCUUCGUGUUCCCGUCGGUAAUUGGAUCUGCGUGAGCCUGCGUACUAGUUUGGUAUGUCGCCGUGGAGUGCCGCGCCGCCGGGUGUGUCGUGCGGGCCACUACUGCUGGGGGCUGAGAAGGAAGACGAUGGGAGAAACGUCGAUUUCUGGUGGAGGGCUCAGAUUGAACGCUGCGUACACCCCUUCGCUGGUUUGAUCUGAGCGGUUGGUUCCGAUCGGACGGACCUGGUGUGAUCACGGUUAUUUAAAAUAUAGGCCGUUGAUCUGGCCAGGGACGGAUACGAUUAGACUGGGCGCUUACCUCUUCGUUGGUUGAGUAUGUACUGUUGAUCUAUAAUCUAACGGUUGUGAUGCGCGCGGGGUUAGGCAGCCGAGCCAGCUUUACGUAAGAGCCCUCGAGAUUUAAGGUAAUAAACCCGCCGUCCAUUUUUUUAGUAUAAAGAAAGUAAAAUUAAAUGAAGACUUUGCGUUUUAGCCCAUGGGGUUUGUUUUUAGGCACAAAAUUGAUACAAAUAUGCACAAAAGCUAAGAAAAUCCAUAUCUUGCUCAUGUUAACUCCAUUUUAGUCCGUUUAAGUUGCGUUAGCUUCGUAAUAAAAUUAUCUACACUUUGGUAACCUUAUUUUAUCAUGAAACAUGUUUGUAAAUAAUUAAUUUGUUUACCCUAUGUUCAUUGGAUUAACUUCUUUAUUUAAAAUUAAAGUAAAAUUUUCGCUUCCUAGUUGUAAUUUGACUUAAAUAUGUUUUCUAAUCAAGUUAUAACUUGGGUUAAAAUUAAAUUAAUGGUUUCUUAGGAAUAUAUUUCUCACGUGAUUUAUAAUAAUCAACCUAGAACCUAGUUUUCCUGUUUAAUCACAUAAACCUUCGGAAAAUCAUAACUUUAUAACCGUAGCUCCUAAUUUAGCAAUUCUCGAGCCCGCGAUCUCAUAGCUUCGCGUAGAUUAUUAUUACACAGUUUAUUCUUAUAUUUGGUGUGAUGUUAAUUUUGUCUAUACCAUGUUUGUUUGUAUUGCUACGACUAGCGUGAGGUCACGAGUCACCUGAAGAUCAUCCUGGUACCUGGAAUCUCAAGUCCCAGGCAAGUUGUGCCCUUGAUCACUUCUUUUACCCACUCAUAUUCUAAUUAAUCAUAAUGAUCUGCAUAGGUUAAUUUGAUGGGACCUAAUAGGUUACCCUAGUUUGUCUAUCUUUAUGCCUUGUUUACCACUAAACUUUCUGGGUAGUACUUGCUAGUGCUAUAUGUGGAUUUGGGCAUUGAGAUACAUAUUAUUCAUACUUUUGUUAUCAGUUGCUAUUUACUGUUCAUGAUAAGAUCAUUCUGUUAAUUGGAACAUGGAGAACCACCCGGGAAAACAGUGCUACCACAAGGGUUUAAUGGGACGCCCUUGGCCGAUUAAUUAGGAAAGCUAGUGGAAGACUACCUUACCCGAAAGGGGCAAGGGCAGUAGGGGAGUGGUCAGUGUAGGGAGGCCCUCGGGAGGAUUUUGCUGCGAUGGCGGUCCUGCAAGGGAUUCCUGCAUUGGAGCUUCCUAUAAACUGUAGCGGGUUUUCUGAAGCUAGUGGAACUUUGUAAAGGCCUCGUAGUGUUACCCUGCCUCGCCUCCUCGAUAGAGGUGUAUGGGAAGUCGCGAUCCCUUGGCAGAUGGGUAACAUGACUUGUGGGUAAAGAUGCGCAACCUCUACAGAGUGUAAAACUGGUAUACUAGCCGUGCUCACGGUCAUGAGCAGCUCGGACACUCACAUGAUUAAAUUAUGAAACUUAAACUCAAUUUGUCAUAUGCAUUGCAUCGCAGGUGAGGUUGUUACUUUUGUUCUGCUACUUAAUUGGGUUGGUAUUUACUUAUACUUAGUAAUUGCUAAUAAAAUUUUGACCAACAUUAAAAGCAAUGCUCAGCUUCAACCAUCCUCUUUGGUAAGCCUUACACUUCACGUGAGCUCCCACCUUUGGCGAGUUCAUGCACAUUAUUCCCCACAACUUGUUGAGCUAUGAACGUAUGUGAGCUCACUCUUGCUGUCUCACACCCCCCCACAGGUCAAGAACAGGUACCGCAGGAUGAGGCACAUGGAGGAUGCUGUGAUGAGUUCGUGAGAGAGAUCUAGGCCGUCGUCUCCCAGUCAACUUUGGGUUGCUGGACCGUUG